GCCUCGGUGGUGCAGUGGUAACAAGCGCCACUAGCAUGGGUGUACAGCGGGUUCAACUCCCGUCUCAGGUG